rnacentral:rRNA from 1 species
AGCAGCCGCGGUAAUUCCAGCUCCAAUAGCGUAUAUUAAAGUUGUUGCAGUUAAAAAGCUCGUAGUUGAAUUUCGGGAUUAGCAGGUCGGUCGUGCCACUGGUACGUACUGGUCUUGCUGAUUCCUCCCUCUUGACGAGCCGUAAUGCCACUAAUUUGGUGUUGCGGGGAAUCGGGACUGUUACUUUGAAAAAUUAGAGUGUUUAAAGCAGGCUAACGCUUGAAUACAUUAGCAUGGAAUAAUGAAAUAGGACGUUCGAUCUUAUUUUGUUGGUUUCUAAGAUUGACGUAAUGAUUAAUAGGGAUAGUUGGGGGCAUUAGUAUUCAAUUGUCAGAGGUGAAAUUCUUGGAUUUAUUGAAGGCUAACUACUGCGAAAGCAUUUGCCAGGGAUGUUUUCAUUAAUCAAGAACGAAAGUUAGGGGAUCGAAGACGAUCAGAUACCGUCGUAGUCUUAACCAUAAACUAUAGCCGACUAGGGAUCGGAUGAUGUUAAUUUUUUAAUGUACUCA